rnacentral:lncRNA from 1 species
UCUUUUUUAGUACAAGAACAGGGUUGGCUAACCACUCCGAAUGUAACACCUCUCUAAUAAACCCAGCCACGACCAAGCGGGCCAGCUCAGCGUGAAUGGCCUCUCUCUUGUCAGGCGUGAAGCGAUGUAGUUUUUGCCGAAUCGGCCUCGCCUGGGGAUAGACCUUCAGCUUGUGCUCGGCCAGUUCUCUCGGGACUCCCGGCAUAUCCGCAGGUUGCCAUGCGAAUACGUCUCGUUUAUCUUGCAGAAACUGGACGAGCGCGCCUUCCUAUUUGUCAUCCAGGCUGGAGCUGAUGAUGGCAGUCUUGCGUUCAUCAGCGAACCCAAGGUUGAUCCUUUUGGUUUCUUCAGUCGGCCGCGUAGAGGUCGCGGCUUGAGCUUCAUUUGCAGGUGCUGCAAGGUCUUCCUCAGGCUUAGAGUUUGCCUGCGUCGAAGAAGUCGCCGACGGUUUGGUGGUGAGGGCCGCCUGGAUGGCCACUCAGAAACAUUCUGCGGCGCCUUGGAAGUCGGCGCGCACAGUUAUGAUUCCUUGCGGCCCUGGCAUCUUCAAUAUCAUGUAUGUGUAAUGUGGAAUGGCCAUGAAUUUUGCCAAUCCCGGCCUCCCGAUGAUGGCAUUGUACCCGCAGUCGAAGUUCGCCACUUCGAAUCUUAGGAACUCGGUUUUGUAGUUCUCCGGAGUUCCGAAGGUGACUGACAUGUAGAUGUGGCCCAGCUGGUAUUCUCCUUCAGUCGGCACGAUGCCGAAGAAAGGAGUGUCUGACUCGUGGAGCUCUUUGAGGUGAACUCCCAAGCCUUGGAGUGUCCGGGGGAAGGUGAUGUUGAUGCUGCUCCCCCCGUCCACUAAUACCUUCUUCACCCUGCUCUCUCGGAUCACCAGAUCGACGAGGAGCGGGUAUUUGCCUGGGUGGUCGAAGUUGAGCCAUUGAUCUGCCCGAGUGAAGGUGAUUGGGUUCUCCGACCAUCGGUACGGAGCGAGAGGACCGGUGGUCGCCACCAAUAUCUGGCGAUCGUUGAGCUUUUGUUGUCUUCUGUUCUCCUGCGACCCGUGUCCGCCGAAGAUGACGUUGACCUCCUCCCUCCUCCUCCUGCUGGGGUUGUCGUGGUUCUCCUGGUCCUCCCCGCGGCGGAGGAGGAGGUAGAGGUUGGAAGGGCCGGUCGUGUCCGACGGAGUGCUUGAAGUCUCUGCAGUUCCGAAGGGUGUGGCGCAUGUCCUUGUGGUACGGGCACUGGGCGUCAAGGAUGUCGUCCAGCGUGCGUUCGCCUCCACGAGGCCCUCCCCGGGCGCGAGAGGCAGGUGGUCCGACGGCGUGCACUUCUUCACGAGGCCUCUUCUCCCAGCGUUUGUCGGGUUGCUGGUUCGUGUCGCGUCGUGGUGCUGCCGGUGCGGGCUUCGCUCCCCCGAUGAGGUCCUGAGCUCGCUCGUCGGCAGUGAUGUAGAGGUCGGCUUCCCGGAACAGUUGCUCAGAGGUAGUCUGAGCCUUCUGCAAUAUGGCCCGGACGAAAGCCGAGUCGUUGGAUCCUCUAUAGAAGUCCUCGAUCACGGCCGCCUCCGUGACCUCGGGGAUACGAUUUCUCAUGGUCUGGAACCUUUUGAGGUAUGACCGAAGAGUUUCGUCCCCCCGGCGCUUGAUGGAUUUGAGGUCCCAUGGUUGCGCUAGUUUAUCGGAGAGGGACUGAAAGUUGGCGGUGAAGCGUCGACUGAAGUCGCUCCAGUCGUCGAUGCAGUGUCGGGGUAGAUGUCGCAGCCAUUGUAGCGCGUCUUGCCCGAGGACAAUGGGUAAGUAUGCGGUCAUCAUGUCCUCGGACGCCCCGGCAGCUCGAGCAGCGGUGGUGUAGACGGCCAGCCAGUCUCCUGGAUCCUGCUUAGGUUCAUAUUUGUCGACAUUGGAUACCUUGAAGUUAGGGGGCCAUUGAAUGGCUCUAAGGCGUGGAGUAAGUGCAGACACUCCACACGUGUCUUCUUGUCGUCGGGGAUGAUGUCUGUCCGGGGAGGGGAGUAGUUGUUGUGGUUCCUCGACCGUCCCCGAGUGGUACCGCCAGUCGAGGUCGUUGCCGACUCAGUUCUGGUGGCCUGACUCCGAGCUUGGAUGUCGUGAUCCCUGUCGUACUCUUCCCGGCGACGGAUCUCGUUCUCAUGUCGUCGUUCACGCGAAGCGUUGAUGGAGCUUCGCGCGUCCCGGCGGCUGUUGAUGGUGUGUCGUAGGUCGUUCGGCGGGUGAGCGAGAGGUAGAAGAUGGUUGGCUGCUUGGGUGAAUAGUCGUCGAUAGCCCUCGGCAUCGGGAGUCCGAGGGAGUCCAUCAGCUAUUCGAGUUAGUACCCCGCCAAUCUCACUCGGCGUGUUCAUGGCUCAGGCGAAGUCGGGGUUCAGGUUGCGCCCGAAGAGUGGAUUCUCCCGACGUUGCCUUGCCUCCUGCUCGGCUUGUUCCUGAGCUCGUCGGUGAUCACGCCGUCGGGAGUUCCUUCGUUCUCUGAAGACGCGUUCCUCCAGAGUUUCUCCUAUCUCUGAGACCUCGUCUCGCGAGAUAGGCUGCUCCGGGUCCCGCUCUCCGGCCUCGUGGUGUCGCCGGAUAUUUCAGCGUCGGUUCCUCCGUCGGCGGGAUUCCCGCUGAGGAGGUUCUUCUCCGGGCGCGGUCGGCUCGUCGUCGGAGACGGGGAGCGACUCCACUCUCCCGAUGAAGAGGACGUCAGGGUAGAAUGGUGCGGCGUUCGUGGUGAUCUUCUUUCCGUUCUCCUUUGAGGGCGGAGGAACAGAAAGAACAACUUGCUUCCUCCCAGUGUUAUUUGUUUCUUCCUUCCUUGCGAUUUGUGUCCAUUCUUUCGUCGGGGAAGUAGAUAGUGGAGUUCUCUGGGUCAGCGGGCUCUCGGCCCCUGGCUUGCUGAAGGCGAUCUUUUUUCGGAGCGCUGGAGGUUGCGCUUUUCCCUGCCUUACUUCGACAUUUUCGGAGGUUGUUGGAGGAGACUUCUUCCUUGGCGGAUCUGCGAUGCGAUGUAGAGCUCCUUCUUCAUCUGCUACGGAUGAGAUAGUUCCAAAGCGGAACACAGAUCCGGGGCGGAGCUAGCUUAGAUCGGCGACACACCCCCUACUUGGCGCGCCAGCUGUCGGUGUUUUGGGUCCGACCGCACACCCGGGGUUGCCCCUCAAGGUGUUUUUAGGAGUAGGACGGUGUUACCGACUGUAGCUCAAUGGUUCGUGCAGGGUGCACGAGAAACAGUAGAUAAUGGUGUACAGGUUCGGGCCGCUUUGAGAUGCGUAACACCCUACGUCCUGGCGAGAAUGCUUUAUGUGGUGGAUUACAAGGGAGCUCUCUAACGCUAGAACGUAGAGAGCUAGGGUGGAUGGCUGAGUAGUGAGAUCGAUCGUUCUGAAGGGGUGCCCCCUAGGUCUUAUAUAUUCGACCGUGAGGCAAUACAUGUGGAUAUGAUAACAAUGCGCACCUAAGAGAUAGUGAACUGAUUGAGUCUAUCUUCCUAUAGUUCUGCCGACUCAUCCUCGCUUGGUUCCGUUGUACGGGGCUCCAGCGCGGGAAAGUCGGGUCUCUGGUGUGGUUACUUGCUCGACGUUGUUGGGCCGUCUGGGCUCGCACCGAUCCGGCCUCGUGUCGAUCUGCUUCACUGGUCGUUCUUCCCCAGGCCCACGAAGGGAUGACCUUACGAAUUAUUGGGCCCUCGGGCCUUUCGUGAGGUCUUUUAUCCUUCCAGUGGACCCGAGGGAUAUCUGUCCCCCACAUCCGCCAAGAGGGAGAUGGAAACGGCCACAAGCCACGGGAAGGCUCCAUCAAGGGAGUCCGGCGGUAAACGAAGGGAGGAAUCACCUCCUCGCGUCAAGUCGCACCGGAGUGGUGACAAGAAGAAGAAAAUGAAGAAAGUGGUCUACUACGAGACCGAUUCCUCGUCGCCAUCCACCUUCGGCUCCGAAGCUCCGUCCAUCACUUCUAAGCGCCAUGAGCGCAAGAAGUUUAGUAAGAUUCACCUACGCUAUCCCCGCAUUUCCAAACGCACUCCUUUACUUUCCGUCCCAUUAGGCAAACCACCAGUUUUUUACGGUGAAGAUUAUUGUAUGUGGAGUGAUAAAAUGAGGCAUCACCUAACCUCACUCCACGCUAGCAUUUGGGACAUAGUUGAAUUUGGAGCGCAGGUACCAUCCGGGGGGAUGAAGGAUAUGAUUCGGACGAAGUCGCCCAAAUCCAACAUUUUGACUCCCAAGCCACCACUAUACUUCUCGCCUCUCUAUGUCGAGAGGAGUAUAACAAGGUGCAAGGGCUAAAAAGUGCCAAUGAGAUUUGGGAUGUGCUAAAGACCGCACAUGAAGGGGAUGAGGUGACCAAGAUCACCAAGCGGGAGACGAUCGAGGGGGAGCUCGGUCGUUUCAUCCUCAACCAAGGAGAGGAGCCACAAGCCAUGUACAACCGGCUCAAGACCUUGGUGAACCAAGUGCGCAACCUCGGGAGCACCAAAUGGGAUGACCAUGAAAUGGUCAAGGUUAUUCUAAGAUCACUUGUUUUUCGUAAUCCCACACAAGUUCAAUUAAUUCGUGGUGAUCCUAGAUAUAAGCUAAUGUCUCUCGAGGAGGUUAUAGGAAAGUUUGUGAGCUUUGAGUUGAUGAUCAAAGGCUCCAAACAAAUCAUCGAGCAAGGUGGCACCUCCACACCCGAGGUGCAACCCAUCACAUUUAAAGCGACGGAAGAAAAGAAAGAAGAGUCUACAUCAAGUAGGCUCCCCAUCGACGCCUCCAAGCUCGACAACGAGGAGAUAGCGCUCAUCAUCAAGAGCUUCCACCAAAUCCUCAAACAAAGGAGGGGGAAGGAUUACAAAUCCCGCUCCAAGAAAGUUUGAUACAAAUGUGGUAAGCCCGGUCAUUUUAUUGCUAAAUGUCCAUUAUCAAGUGAUAGUGACAGGCGCGACGACAAGAAGGGAAAGAGGAAGGAAAAGAAGAGAUACUACAAGAAGAAGGGCGGCGAUGCCCACGUGUGUCGAGAAUGGGACUCGGACGAGAGCUCCACCGACUCCUCCUUUGACGAGGACGCCGCCAACAUCGCCGUCACCAAAGGCCUCCUCUUCCCCAACGUCGGCCACAAGUGCCUCAUGGCAAAGGACAGCAAGAAAAAGAAGGUACAAGCUAGAACCACCCCCAAGUAUACUACAUCUAGUGAUGAGGGCAGUUCUAGUGAUGAUGAAGAUAACUUGCUUAGUCUUUUUGCCAACCUUAACAUGCAACAAAAGGAAAAAUUAAAUGAACUAAUAGGUUCCAUUCAUGAGAAGGAUGAACUCUUGGAUAGCCAAGAGGAAUUCCUUAUUAAAGAAAAUAAAAAACAUGUUAAGGUAAAGAAUGUUUAUGCUCAGGAAGUAGAAAAGAAUGAAAAUUUGACUAAGGAGCUUAGCAUUUGCCAUGACACAAUUUCCAACCUUAGAAAUGAGAACGGUAAUUUAAAUGCUAAGGUUGAAAAAUCAAAUGUUUGUCAUGAUUCAAUUGUCAAUCUUAAAAAUGAUAAUGCUAGUUUGGUUGCUAAGAUUGAUAAAUUGAAUGAAUCAAUUUCUAGCCUUAAAAUUGAAAAUGCUAGUUUAAUUUCAAAGGCUAAGGAAUUGAAUGUUUGCAAUAUUUCUAUUUCCAAUCUUAGAAAUGAGAAUGCCAUGUUACAUGCUAAGAUUGAUGAAUUAAAAUCUUGCAAACCCUAUACAUCCACUAUUGAUCAUGUUUCUAUUUGCAUGAGAUGUAGAGAUAUUAAUGUUGAUGCUAUCCAUGAUCACCUAGCUUUAAUUAAAGAACAAAAUGAUCACAUAGCUCAACUAACUGCUAAAAUUAAUGAGCAUGAGAUAGAAAAUGAAAAAUUUAAAUUUGCUAGAAGCAUGCUCUAUAAUGGGAGACGCCCUGGCAUUAAGGAUGGCAUUGGCUUCCAACAGGGAGACAAUAUCAAGCUUAAUACCCCUAAGAAAUUGUCUAAUUUUGUUAAGGGUAAGGCUCCCAUGGCUCAAGAUAACGAGGGUUACAUUUUAUAUCCUACUGGUUAUCCUGAGCACAAGAUUAGGAGAAUUCAUGCUAGGAAGUCUCAUUCUGUUUCCCAUCAUGCUUUUAUGUAUAAGACUGAGGCAUCCAGCUCUAGGCAUUCUACACAUGUUAAAAUGCCUAAAAAUAAAUCUCCUAUUGUAUCAAAUGAGCCCAGUGUUUCAUUUAAGACUUUUGAUGCUUCUUAUGUUUUAACUAACAAAUCAGGCAAAGUAGUUGCCAAAUAUGUUGGGGGCAAACACAAGGGCUCCAAGACUUGUGUUUGGGUACCCAAGGUGCUUGUCUCUAAUGUGAAAGGACCCAAGACCGUUUGGGUACCUAAGAACAAGGCCUAAACUUGUUUUGUAGGUUUAUGCAUCUGGGGGCUCAAGUUGGAUCAUUGAUAGCGGAUGCACAAACCACAAGACACGGGAGAAAAGGAUGUUCUCCUCCUACGAGAAAAACGAUGAUCCCCAAAGAGCUAUCACAUUUGGGGAUGAAAAUCAAGGUUUGGUCAAAGGACUUGGUAAAAUUGCUAUAUCACCUGACCAUUCCAUUUCCAAUGUUUUUCUUGUAGAUUCUUUAGAUUACAAUUUGCUUUCAGUUUCUCAAUUAUGCAAAAUGGGUUACAACUAUCUUUUUACAGAUAGGUGUUACUGUCUUUAUAAGAAGUGAUGAUUCAGUAGCAUUUAAGGGAGUAUUAGAGGGUCAGCUAUACUUAGUUGAUUUUAAUAGAGCUGAACUCGAUACUUGCUUAAUUGCUAAGACUAAUAUGGGUUGGCUCUGGCAUCGCCGACUAGCCCAUGUUGGGAUGAAGAAUCUUCACAAACUUCUAAAGGGAGAACACAUUUUGGGACUAACAAAUGUUCAUUUUGAGAAAGACAGGGUUUGUAGCGCAUGUCAAGCAGGAAAGCAAGUUGGUGCCCAUCAUCCACACAAGAACAUCAUGACGACCGACAGGACGCUUGAGCUACUCCACAUGGAUCUAUUCGGCCCGAUAGCUUACAUAAGCAUCGACGGGAGUAAGUAUUGUCUUGUAAUUGUGGAUGAUUAUUCUCGCUUCACUUGGGUAUUCUUCUUGCAGGAAAAAUCUCAAACCCAAGAGACCUUAAAGGGAUUCUUAAGACGAGCUCAAAACGAGUUCGGAUUAAGGAUCAAGAAGAUAAGAAGCGACAACGGGACGGAGUUCAAGAACUCUCAAAUUGAAGGAUUUCUUGAGGAGGAGGACAUCAAGCAUGAGUUCUCUUCUCCCUACACACCUAAACAAAAUGGUGUAGUGGAGAGGAAGAAUCGAACUCUACUGGACAUGGCAAGGACCAUGCUUGAUGAAUACAAGACUUUGGACCGGUUUUGGGCUGAGGCGAUUAACACCGCUUGCUACUCCAUCAACCGGCUUUAUCUUCACCGAAUCCUCAAGAAGACAUCUUAUGAACUCCUCACCGGUAAAAAGCCCAAUGUUUCAUAUUUUAGAGUCUUUGGUAGCAAAUGUUUUGUUCUUAUUAAAAGAGGUAGAAAAUCCAAAUUUGCUCCUAAGGCUGUAGAAUGCUUUUUACUUGGUUAUGACUCAAACACAAGGGCAUAUAGAGUCUUCAACAAAUCCACUGGAUUAGUUGAGGUUUCUUGUGACAUUGUAUUUGAUGAAAGUAAUGGCUCUCAAGUAGAGCAAGUUGAUCUUGAUGAGCUAGAUGGUGAAGAGGCUCCAUGCGUCGCGCUAAGGAACAUGUCCAUUGGGGAUGUGUGUCCUAAGGAAUCCGAAGAGCUCACUCAAGCUCAAGAUCAACUGUCAUCUUCCAUGCAAGCAUCUCCACCAACCCAAGAUAAGGAUCAGGCUCAAGAUAAUGAAGAAGAAGAUCAAGAAGAUGAGCCACCUCAAGAGGAGGACAAUGGUCAAGGGGGAGAUGAUAAUGAUCAAGAAAAGGAAGAUGAUCAAGAAGAUCAGGGUCAAAGACCGCCACACCCAAGAGUCCACCAAGCGAUACAACGAGAUCACCCUGUGAACUCCAUCCUCGUCGAUAUUCAUAAGGGGGUAACCACUCGAUCUCGUAUCGCUCAUUUUUGUGAACAUUACUCUUUUGUGUCUUCUAUUGAGCCAUACAGGGUAGAAGGCGCAUUAAGGGAUUUGGAUUGGGUGUUGGCAAUGCAAGAGGAGCUCAACAACUUCACGAGGAAUGAGGUAUGGCAUUUAGUUCCACGUCCUAACCAAAAUGUUGUAGGAACCAUGUGGGUAUUCCGCAACAAGCAAGAUGAGCAUGGUGUGGUGACAAGGAACAAAGCCCGACUUGUGACCAACGGCUAUUCACAAGUUGAAGGUUUGGAUUUUGGUGAAACCUAUGCACCCGUAGCUAGGCUUGAAUCAAUUCGUGUAUUACUUGUCUAUGCUACUUACAAUGGCUUUAAGCUCUAUCAAAUGGACGUGAAAAGUGCCUUCCUCAAUGGACCAAUCAAGGAAGAGGUCUAUGUGAAAGGAAAAUGUGCCCUUGGGCCAUUUCUACAAUGUUUUGGUGAUUAAAUGUCCAACACGUUUGAUUAAGUUCUUUUGUACCAAAUAAAGAGAGAAGUACAAAUCAAGGCACAAGGUAUGUUUCUAGACUUAGUACAUUGUUGUUUGAACGCUAAUGUGCUUGUCUAAGUGCUAGAAAUAGUGAGAAAAGAAGAAGAAAAGAAACCGAAAAGACUUGGCUCUGUGCAGCCAAACUUCAGCUCAGUCUGGCACACCGGACAGUGUCCGGUGCGCCAGGCUGAUCUCUGGUGAAAGUGCUGCUCUCGGGAAUCGACGGCGACGUACGGCUAAAAAUCACCGGACUGUCCGGUGGUGCACCGGACUGUCCGGUAAGCCAACGGUCGCCUGCGCCAACGGCCAGCCACGCAAUCUUCGUGUGACACGUGGUCGCGCUAACGGUCAGUUGGGCACACCGGACUGUCCGGUGCGCCAACCGACCCCGAGGACCAACGGUCGGAUACGCCUAAUUUGGAAGGCGAUCACGCAUCGGACAACUACAGUGGCUGUCCGGUGGUGCACCGGACUGUCCGGUGCACCACCCGACAGAAGGCAAGUUUGGCCUUCCAAGUUGGCCUCCAACGGCUCCUAGCUGCCUUGGGGCUAUAAAAGGGACCCCUAGGCGCAUGGAGGAGCUACCCAAGUAUUCACUAAGCAUUCUAAGACUCCCACACUCCGUCUCCGCGCACUUGAUCGAUUGUGUUAGUGAUUUGAGCUCCGUUCGAGUUGUGAACUCUCUGUGCUACAUUUCGAGCUCAAGUCUUGGCUUGUGUGCGUGUGUGUGCUGCGGAUUUGUGUUGUGUGUGUGCUGCUUCUCCCAACCUUACUCCAUGCUUUCCUUGUGAUCUUUAUUGUAAGGGCGAGAGACUCCAAAUUGUGGAGAUUCCUCGCAAACGAGAAGAUACUCUAAACAAAAAGACCGUGGUAUUCAAGUUGAUCAUUGGAUCACUUGGAAGGGGUUGAGUGCAACCCUCGUCCAUUGGGACGCCACAACGUGGAAGUAGGCAAGUGUUACUUGGCCGAACCACGGGAUAAAAAUCAUGUGUCUCUUGUGUUGGAUUAUCUGUGAUUGUUGUGUUCACAAGAACUCGCUUCAAAGCUACUUCGUCGCUAACGCUAUAACAUCUAAGUUUUGUGGCUAUUUAGAGUUUGAUUUUACAGGAUCACCUAUUCACCCCCCCCCCUCUAGGUGCUCUCAAUUGGUAUCAGAGUCGUACUCUUCACGUAAGGGACUAAUCGCCCGAAGAGAUGGAUCCUAAGGGAAAGGGGAUGGUGGUCAAUGACAAGGAGAAGGAGUCCAUCUUCAACGAGCCAAGAGAUAACAAGCCCACUGACUCAGGCUCGAGUCACAAGAAGAAGGACGGGAAGAAGAAGAGGCGCAUCAAGAAGAUCAUCUACUACGACAGCGAUGCAUCUUCUUCUUUACCAAGAGACGACGACGAUGACGAUUCUUCGUCAAAGAAAAAGAUGCUUAAUCAAAACUAUUCUUUUGAUUAUUCCUGCAUGUCGUACAAUUCAAAUGCGCAUCUACUUUCAAUUCCCCUUGGAAAACCUCCACACUUUGAUGGAGAGGACUAUUCGUUUUGGAGUCAUAAAAUGCGUAGUCAUUUAUUCUCUCUCCAUCCUAGCAUAUGGGAAAUUGUAGAAAAUGGGAUGCACUUUGACAUCACUGAUAAUCCUGUGAUUAUUAAUGAGCAAAUCCAUAAAAAUGCCUAAGCUACUACUGUGUUGUUAGCAUCUCUUUGCAGCGACGAGUAUAACAAAGUGAGUGGCUUGGACAAUGCCAAACAAAUCUAGGAUACCCUCAAGAUAUCACAUGAGGGAAAUGAUGCCACUAUGAUCACAAAGAUGGAACUAGUGGAAGGCGAGCUGGGGAGGUUCGCGAUGAUCAGGGGAGAGGAGCCAACUCAGACCUACAACAGGCUCAAGACUCUGGUCAACAAGAUCCGAAGGUAUGGAAGCACAAGAUGGACGGAUCAAGAUGUCAUCCGACUCACGUUAAGGUCAUUUACUGUAAUUGACCCCCAUCUUGUAAAUCUUAUUCGUGAAAAUCCCAGGUACACCAAGAUGACGCCCGAGGAGAUCCUUGGAAAAUUUGUGAGCGGGUGCAUGAUGGUGAAGGAGGCACGAUACGUGGAUGACGCUUUGAAUGGUCCACUACCCAUCUACGAGCCACGGCCUAUUGCUCUCAAAGCAACAAGCAGCAAGGAGGCACUACCAAGCAAGGUAGCUCAAGUGGAGGCUGCCGGACUCAAUGAAGAUGAGAUGGCGCUUAUCAUCAGCGUUUCAAGACCGCACUCAAAGGAUGCAAGGAGUACCCCAACAGAAAUAAAACAAAGGGAAGACGCUCCUGCUUCAAAUGCGGUAAGACUGGUUACUUUAUUGCAAACUUUCCCGAUAAUGAUAGUGACCAGGGACAAGAAAAGAGCGGGAAGAAGGAGAAAAAGAAGAACUACAGGAAGGCAAAGGGCGAGGCGCACCUUGGAAAGGAAUGGGACUCGGACUGCUCCUCUUCCGACUCUGACGACGAAGGACUUUCUGCCUCGGCUUUCAACAAAUCCUCACUCUUCCCCAACGAUCGUCAUACAUGUCUUAUGGCCAAGGAGAAAAAGGUACGUAUUCGAGAUUCUCCUAAGUACUCUACUUCUAGUGAUGAGGAAUCCUCCGAUGAUGAAGUAGAUUACUCUUAUUUAUUUAAAGGAUUAGAUAGAGCCAAGCUAGAGAAAAUUAAUGAAUUAAUUGAUGCUCUAAAUGAAAAGGAUAGAUUGCUAGAGAAACAAGAAGAUAUUUUGUAUGAAGAACAUGACAAAUUUAUUAGUGUUCAAAAAUCUCUUGCUCUAGAAAUUAAAAGAAAUGAAAUGCUAUCCUCUGAGUUGUCUGCUUGUCAUGAAUCUGUUUCUAGUUUAAGGAGUUUAAAUGAUGAAUUAAAUGCUAAGCUAGAGGAAGCUAGUAAAAUAAGUUCAUGUGUAGAGCAUGUAAGUCUUUGUAUAGAUGUAAAGACUUUGAUGUUGAUGCAUAUGAUGAACAUCUGAUUGCUAUUACUACAUUGAAUGAUGAGGUGGCAAGUCUUAAUGCUCAACUUAAUACUUGCAAAAGUGAUUUUGAUAAAUUAAAGUUUGCUAGGGAAUCCUACACUAUUGGUAGACACCCCUCAAUUAAGGAUGGACUUGGGUUUCGAAAGGAAACCAAGAACUUGACAAAGCCAAAAAGCUCCCGUUCUCAACAAGGAGAAAGGGAAGGCCCCUAUGGCUAGUAGUCUUCAAAGGAAUCAUGCUUUUAUUUAUGAUAGGUAAAUUGCUAGUCGUUCCAAUUAUAAUAAGAGUUAUGUUCAUGCUGCUUAUAAUGAUUCACAUGCUAUGUUUGCCUCUAGCUCUACUUUUGUUCAUGGUAGAAGUAGGCCUAGGAGAAAUAAUGUUGUGCCUCAUGUGCCUAGGAAAAUGUGCAAUGAACCUUCUACCAUUUACCAUGCUUGCAAUACUUCAUUUGUGCUUUUACGUAAAAAUGAAAAAGUAGUUGCUAGGAAGUUGGGAUCCAAAUGCAAGGGAGACAAAACUUGCAUAUGGGUUCCAAAAACUAUUUUGACUAACCUUGUAGGACCCAAUAAGAGUUGGGUACCUAAAACCCAAGCUUAAAUUCCUUGCAGGUUUAUGCAUCCAAGGGCUCAAGCUAGAUUAUCGACAACGGAUGCACAAACCACAUGACGGGGGAGAAGAAGAUGUUCACCUCCUACGUCAAGAACAAGGAUUCCCAGGAUACGAUCAUCUUUGGAGAUGGGAACCAAGGCAAGGUCAAAGGCUUGGGCAAGAUAGCCAUCACCAACGAGCACUCCAUAUCGAAUGUAUUUCUAGUAGAGUCGCUUGGUUACAACCUUCUGUCUAUAAGUCAAUUGUGUCACAUGGGUUACAAUUGUCUUCUUACAAACGUUGAUGUAUCUGUCUUUAGAAGGAGUGAUGGUUCAUUAGCUUUUAAGGGUGUAUUAGACGGCAAACUCUACUUAGUUGAUUUUUCGAAAGAGGAGGCCGAUCUAGAUGCAUGCUUAAUAGCUAAGACUAGUAUGGGUUGGUUGUGGCAUCGCCGUCUAGCACAUGUUGGGAUGAAGAACCUUCAUAAACUUCUAAAGGGAGAACAUGUGUUAGGACUAACCAAUGUUUGUUUCGAGAAAGAUAGGCCUUGUGCAGCAUGUCAGGCAGGGAAACAGGUGGGAAGCACUCAUCAUAGCAAGAAUGUGAUGACAACAUCAAGACCACUGGAGCUUCUUCACAUGGACCUCUUCGGAGCCGUUGCCUACCUUAGCAUCGGGGCAAGUAAGUAUGGUCUUGUAAUUGUUGAUGAUUUUCCUGCUUCACUUGGUGUUCUUUUUGCAGUUUAAAUCAGAAACCCAAGGGACCCUAAAACGCUUUCUAAGGAGGGCUCAAAACGAAUUUGAGCUAAAGGUGAAAAAGAUAAGGAGCGACAAUAGGUCCGAGUUUAAGAAUCUGCAAGUUGAGGAGUAUCUUGAGGAGGAAGGCGUCAAGCACGAGUUCUCCACUCCCUACACACCACAGCAAAACGGUGUGGUAGAGAGGAAGAACAUGACGCUUAUCGACAUGGCGAGAAUGAUGCUUGGAGAGUUCAAGACACCCGAGCGGUUUUGGUCGAAAGCUGUGAACACAGCUUGCCACGCCAUAAACUGACUCUAUCUGCAUCGCCUUCUCAAGAAGACCUCCUACGAACUCCUUACCGGUAACAAACCCUACGUCUCCUACUUUCGUGUAUUUGGGAGCAAAUGUUACAUUCUGGUGAAGAAAGGUAGACAUUCUAAAUUUGCUCCCAAGGCAGUAGAAGGGUUUUUACUAGGGUACGACUCAAAUACAAAGGCGUAUAGAGUCUUCAACAAAUCAUCAGGUUUGGUUGAAGUCUCUAGCAACGUUGUAUUUGAUGAGACUAAUGGCUCUCCAAGAGAGCAAGUUGGUCUUGAUGACAUAGAUGAAGAUGAUGUUCCAACGGCCGCAAUGCGCACGAUGGCGAUUGGUGAUGUGCGGCCACAGGAACAACAGGAGCAAGAUCAGCCAUCUUCCUCCACAAUGGUGCAUCCUCCAACUCAAGACGGUGCACAGGUACCUCAAGAAGAGGGACAAGAUCAAGGGGGAGCAUAGGAAGAACAAGUGAUGCAGGAAGAAGCACCACGUGCCCCUCCAACUCAAGUCCGAGCAACGAUCCAACGACAUCACCCCGUUGACCAGAUUCUGGGUGACAUAAGCAAGGGAGUAACUACUCGCUCAAGAUUAGCAAACUUUUGUGAGCAUUACUCGUUUGUCUCUUCUAUUGAGCCUUUCAGGGUAGAAGAGGCCUUGCAGGAUCCGGAUUGGGUGUUGGCCAUGCAGGAAGAGCUCAACAACUUCAAGAGAAAUGAAGUUUGGAGCCUGGUGCCACAUCCAAAGAAAAAUGUUGUGGGAACCAAGUGGGUGUUUCGCAAUAAGCAAGACGAGCACGGGGUGGUGACAAGAAACAAGGCUCGACUUGUGGCAAAAGGUUAUGCCCAAGUCGCAGGUUUGGAUUUCGAGGAGACUUUUUCUCCUGUGGCUAGGCUAGAGUCUAUUCGAAUUUUAUUGGCCUAUGCCGCUCACCACUCUUUCAGGCUAUUUCAAAUGGAUGUGAAGAGCGCUUUCCUCAAUGGGCCAAUAAAGGAGGAGGUAUACAUGGAACAACCACCUGGCUUUGAGGAUGACAGGUACACCGACCAUGUGUUCAAGCUCUCUAAGGCGCUCUAUGGACUUAAGCAAGCCCAAGAGCAUGGUAUGAAUGCCUUAGAGAUUUCUUAAUUGCUAAUGCCUUCAAGGUUGGGAAAGUCGAUCCCACUCUUUUUACAAAGACUUGUGAUGGUGAUAUUUUUGUGUGCCAAAUUUAUGUCGAUGACAUAAUAUUUGGUUCUACUAAUCAAAAGUCUUGUGAGGAGUUUAGCAGGGUGAUGACACAAAAGUUCGAGAUGUCGAUGAUGGGCAAGUUGACCUACUUUCUUGGGUUCCAAGUGAAGCAACUCAAGGAUGGCACCUUCAUCUCCCAAACGAAGUACACACAAGAUCUUCUUAAGCGGUUUGGGAUGAAGGACGCCAAGCCCGCGAAGACACCGAUGGGAACCGACGGGCAUGUUGACCUCAACAAAGGAGGUAAGUCCAUUGAUCAAAAGGCAUACCGGUCCAUGAUAGGUUCAUUGCUUUAUUUAUGUGCUAGUAGAGCGGACAUUAUGCUAAGUGUAUGCAUGUGUGCUAGAUAUCAAUCCGGCCCCAAGUAAUGUCACCUUGUGGCCGUUAAGCGAAUUCUUAGAUAUUUAGUUUCUACGCCUUGCUUUGGGAUCUGGUAUCCAAAGGGAUCUACCUUUGACUUGAUUGGAUACUCAGACUCCAAUUAUGCCGGGUGCAAGGUUGAUAGGAAGAGCACAUCUGGGACGUGCCAAUUUCUAGGAAGGUCCCCGGUGUCCUGGAGUUCAAAGAAACAAACAUUUGUUGCCCUAUCCACCGCUGAGGCCGAGUAUGUUGCCGCAGGACAGUGUUGCGCGCAACUACUUUGGAUGAGGCAAACCCUCCGAGACUUUGGCUACAAUCUGAGCAAAGUCCCACUCCUAUAUGACAAUGAGAGUGCUAUCCGCAUGGCGGAUAAUCCUGUUGACCACAGCCGCACUAAGCACAUAGACAUCCGGCAUCACUUCCUGAGAUACCACCAGCAAAAGGGAGAUAUCGAGGUGUACCAUAUUAGCAAUGAGAACUAGCUAGCCGAUAUCUUUACCAAGCCGUUGGAUGAGAAAACUUUUUGCAAGUUGCGUAGUGAGCUAAAUGUCUUAGAUUCGCGUAACUUGGAUUGAUCUAUAGCAUACAUGUGCUCUAUGCCUUUGAUCAUGUUACUUUGAAGCAUUUACAUUACUUGUUGUAUAUUUGUGGUGCUCAAGUUGUACAAGACCUCCCCGGACCUCACAAGUCAAUAUGCAAAUGGUGCACAUAUUUAGGGGGAGAUAUGCUACAACUUGACCCUUUGAGACUAACCUUUGUGUUUGAGUAUACUUGAUGUAGUCUCAAAAGUGCAUUGAAAGGGAAAGGUGAACUUGGAUGAUGUAAAGACUUCCACUGCACUCCGGUAUUAGUGUACUCACUUCCAAGUUCAUACUUGCAAUUUCAUUGCCUUUUUCUCUUAAUUGACAUUUUUGGUGAGGCAAUGGGGUUAAGAGGGCCAAAAAUGAUUCUGUUUUGGUGCUUAAUGCCAAAGGGGGGGAAAUUAAGGCCAAAGCAACUGGAUCAGCCAACCACUUGAGAAUUUUGAAAAUAGUAGAGUUAGAAUUUGAUUUUGUCAAAAUACUCUAAUUGCAAAAUUUGGUCUCUUGUGGGGGAGAAUUCUUGAUUAUGGUAAAAGGGGGAGUUUUUGGUACUUGAUCAAUUUUUCUCUUGGAAUAUCUCUUGAGUUGCCCAAACAAGUGUGCUUGACUUAGAGAUAGGAAAAAUGAUUUGAUUUACAAAAACAAACCAAGUGGUGGCAAAGAGUGAUCCAAAUAUGCCAAAUCAAUAGCGAAAACAAUUUGGUCUUCAAUUGCAUUGAUUUUGCACUUCUUUUGUUGCUUUUUGAUGUGUUGGCAUAAAUCACCAAAAAGGGGGAGAUUGAAAGGAAAAUGUGCCCUUGGGCCAUUUCUAUAAUGUUUUGGUGAUUAAAUGUCCAACACGUUUGAUUAAGUUCUUUUGUACCAAAUAAAGAGAGAAGUACAAAUCAAGGCACAAGGUAUGUUUCUAGACUUAGUACAUUGUUGUUUGAACGCUAAUGUGCUUGUCUAAGUGCUAGAAACAGUGAGAAAAGAAACUGAAAAGACUUGGCUCUGUGCAGCUAAACUUUAGCUCAGUCUGGCACACCGGACUGUCCGGUGGUGCACCAGACAGUGUCCGGUGCCCCAGGCUGGUCUCCGAUGAAAGUGCUGCUCUCGGGAAUCGACGGCGGCGUACGACUAAAAAUCACCGGACUGUCCAGUGAGCCAACGGUCGCCUGCGCCAACGGUCAACCGCGCAAUCUUCGCGUGACACGUGGUCGCGCCAACGGUCGGUUGGGCACACCGGACUGUCCGGUGUGCACCGGACAGUGUCCGGUGCGCCAACCAACCCUGAGAACCAAUGGUCGAAUGCGCCUAAUUUGGAAGGCGAUCGCACACCGGACAACUACAGUGACUCUCCGGUGCACCACCCGACAGAAGGCAAGUUUGGCCUUCCAAGUUGGCCUCCAACGGCUCCUAGCUGCCUUGGGGCUAUAAAAGGGACCCCUAGGCGCAUGGAGGAGCUUCACAAGUAUUCACUAAGCAUUCUAAGACUCACACACUCCGUCUCUGUGCACUUGAUCGAUUGUGUUAGUGAUUUGAGCUCCGUUCGAGUUGUGAACUCUCUGUGCUACGUUUCGAGCUCAAGUCUUGGCUUGUGUGCGUGUGUGUGCUGUGGAUUUGUGUUGUGUGUGUGUUGCUUCUCCCAACCUUACUCCAUGCUUUCCUUGUGAUCUUUAUUGUAAGGGCGAGAGACUCCAAAUUGUGGAGAUUCCUCGCAAACGGGAAGAUACUCUAAACAAAAAGACCAUGGUAUUCAAGUUGAUCAUUAGAUCACUUGAAAGGGGUUGAGUGCAACCCUCGUCCAUUGGGACGCCACAACGUGGAAGUAGGCAAGUGUUACUUGGCCGAACCAUGGGAUAAAAAUCGCGUGUCUCUUGUGUUGGAUUAUCUGUGAUUGUUGUGUUCACAAGAACUCGCUUCAAAGCUACUUCAUCACUAACGCUAUAACAUCUAAGUUUUGUGGCUAUUUAGAGUUUGAUUUUACAGGAUCACCUAUUCACCCCCCCCUCUAGGUGCUCUCACUAUGUUGAGCAACCUCCCGACUUUGAAGAUAGUGAGUACCCUAACCAUGUGUAUAAACUCUUAAAGGCGCUUUAUGGGCUCAAGCAAGCCCCAAGAGCAUGGUAUGAAUGCCUAAGAGAUUUCCUUAUCACUAAUGGUUUCAAAGUCGGAAAAGCCGAUCAUACUCUCUUUACUAAAAACAUUGCAAAAGAUUUGUUUGUAUGUCAAAUUUAUGUUGAUGAUAUCAUAUCUGGGUCUACUAACAAACCUACUUGUGAAGAGUUUAGUAGGAUAAUGAUUCAAAAAUUCGAGAUGUCUAUGAUGGAGGAGUUGAAGUAUUUCCUAGGAUUUCAAGUGAAGCAACUCCAAGAGGGAAUCUUCAUCAGCCAAACCAAGUACAUUCAAGAUAUACUUACCAAGUUUGGAAUGAAGGAUGCCAAGCCCAUCAAGACACCCAUGGGAACCAAUGGGCAUCUUGACCUCAACACGGGAGGUAAAUCCCUAGAUCAAAAGGUAUAUCAGUCGAUGAUAGGAUCUCUACUCUAUUUAUGUGCAUCUUGACCGGAUAUUAUGCUUUCUGUAUGCAUGUGUGCAAGAUUCCAAGUCGAUCCUAAGGAAGUUCACCUUAGGGCCGUAAAAAGAAUCUUGAGAUAUUUAGUUCACACACCUAAGUUUGGUCUUUGGUACCCCAAGGGAUCCACCUUUGAUUUAAUAGGUUAUUCAGAUGUUGAUUGGGCAGGGUGUAAAAUUGAUAGAAAGAGCACAUCAGGGACUUGUCAGUUUUUGGGAAGAUCCCUGGUGUCUUGGGCUUCAAAGAAACAAAAUUCAGUAGCUCUUUCUACCGCCGAAGCAGAAUAUAUUGCCGCAGGAAAUUAUUGUGCGCAAUUACUUUGGAUGAGGCAAAUCCUUAGGGACUACGACUACAAAUUUAGCAAAGUCCCUCUCCUAUGUGACAAUGAGAGUGCAAUCCGCAUGGCGGAUAAUCCCGUUGAACACAGCCGCACUAAGCACAUAUUCAUUCGGUAUCACUUUUUGAGGGAUCACCAACAAGGGGGGAUAUCGAGAUUGCUUAUGUUAGCACCAAAGAACAAUUAGCCGAUAUAUUUACCAAGCCAUUAGAUGAGAAAACCUUUACCAAACUUAGGAAUGAGCUAAACAUCCUUGAUUCUCGGAACUUUGAUUGACACUUUGCACACAUAGUUCAUUUAUGUACCUUUGAUCACAUCUCUUUCACUUUGGUACAAAUGCACAAUUCCCAUUAUUUAUGUACCAAAGCUAUGACUAAUGUGUAUUCAAGUGUAUUUCUACUAAGUCAUAGAAUGAAAGGGAAAUGGAGUCUUCGGCGACGACUAGGCUUCCACUCCACUCUAUCGAUAUCAAUUACCCUUCGCUGUCACUCCGCACCACUCUCCACUUUGGUAUAAUCUUCACUCUUAUUACUAGUACCAAUGGGGAGAAAGUAAAAAGGGCUCAUAUUUUACUUACAAAGUAUCCGUUUUUGGUGAUUCAUGUCAAAGGGGGAGAACGUAUUAGCCCAAAGCAAAAGGACCGCACCGACCGCACCACCACCAAUUUCAAAAAGUUUUUAAAAGCAGUCUUUCAAUUAGUAUUAGAGAAGUUUUUCAAUUGGUAUCUUACUUUUGAUAUAAUUUCAAAUUGGUAUGACCUCUUUCAAAAUUGACAUCUAAAAACCCUCUUGAUCCCUAAGAGGAGAAUUUCAUUGAGGGGGAGUUUUGUUUUAGUCAAAGGAAAUGCAUUUGAAAUAGGGGGAGAAAAUUUCAAAUCUUGAAAAUGCUUCUUACAAACUUAUUCAUAUACCUUUGACUAUUUGCAAAAGGACUUUGAAAAGAUUUUCCAAAAGAAUUUGCAAAAACAAAACAAGUGGUGCAAGCGUGGUCCAAAAUGUUAAAAGAAAGAAAGCAAUCCAUGCAUAUCUAAUAAAAGUUAAAUUGGUUUAAUUCCAAGCAACCUUUGCACUUCUUUAUGCAAACUAGUUCAAUUCUGCACUUAAAUAUUUGCUUUGGUUUGUGUUGGCAUCAAUCACCAAAAAGGGGGAGAUUGAAAGGGAAAUAGGGUCAAACCUUUUCCUAAAUGAUUUUGGUGGUUGAAAUGUCCAACACAAAUUAUUGGACUAACUAGUUUGCUCUAGAUUAUAUGUUCUACAGGUGCCAAAGGUUCAACACAAAUCAAUAAAAAGAUCAAAGUUAGGGUUCAAAAGAAAGGAGCAAAAGAAACCGAAGAGAACUCUGGUCUGGUGCACCGGACUGUCCGAUGCACCAGGGAGGAUCGACCUCAAACUCUUCACCUUCGGGUUUCUCCAGGCGCACUCCGCUAUAAUUCACCGGACUGUCCAAUGUGCCACCGGACUGUCCGGUGCACCAAGCGGAGCAACGGCUAUCAGCGCAAUGGUCGACUACACGGUGUCCUGACAGAGCUACAGUUCAUGGCAGAAGUCAGAGCAGGCGCCAGAGGCGCACCGGACACUGAACAGUAGCUGUCUGGUGCGGCACCGGACUGUUCGGUGCACCAAGAUGUCAGAGCUCCAACGGUCGAACCCGUUAGAACCCUAACGGUUGGGUGAUGUGGCUGGCGCACCAGACUGUCUGGUGCGCCCAUCGACAGCAGCCCUCCCCAACGGCUGUUUUGGUGGUUGGGGCUAUAAAUACCCCCCAACCACCACCAUUCAAGGCAUCCAAGUUUCCAACAUUUUGCAUUCAAUACAAGAGCUCUAGACUUCACUCCAAGACACAAACAAGAGAUCAAAUCCUCUCCCAAGUCCAAAAUCACUCCAAACACUUAGUGACUAGUGAGAGAGAGAUUUUCGUGUUCAUUUGAGUUCUUGACGCUUGGAUCGCUUUUCUUCUUCCUCCAUUCUUGUUCUCAAGCAACUUGUAAUCAAAGAAAGAGACACCAAGUUGUGGUGGUCCUUGUAGGGGUCUGAGUGACCCGGUUUGAUUAAGGAGAAAGCUCACUCGGUCUAGGUGACUGUUUGAGAGAGGGAAAGGGCUGAAAGAGACCCGGUCUUUGUGACCACCUCAACGGGGACUAGGUUUGCACGAACCGAACCUCGGUAAAACAAAUCACUGUGUCCCUCGCCUUAUUUCUUGGUUGAUUAGUUUUUUGCCCUCUCUUUCGGACUCGGUUUUUAAUUCUAACACUAACCCCGACUUGUAGUUGUGCUUUAAGUUUAUAAAUUUCAGAUUUGCCUAUUCACCCCCCCCCCCUCUAGGCAACUUUCACUUGUUCAUGAGAGACAAAUGUAUCUUCAUUUGCAUGCCUCUCAUAUUUUUCAUCAUCUUGUGGUACAUUAGAUGAAGAAGGCAUGUCAACAAUUUGCACCUCUUCUUCAUCUUCUUUUGGUUUGAUGGCUCCAAUAGGCAUGUUCUUCAUGGCUUCCCUAAGUGGCUCAUCACCUACAUCAUCAAGAUUUUCAAGUGCUCCUUGGGAGCCAUUAGUCUCAUCAAACUCCACAUCAUAUGUUUCUUCUACCACGCGAGUGGCAUGAUUGAAUACUCGAUAUGCUUUGGAUUUUGAUGUAUAACCAAGUACAAAACCAAUAUCACAACGUCUUUGAAACUUCCCUAGAGGAUGGCGUUUCUUGCAGAUGUAGUAUUUGCAUCCAAACACCCGAAAGAAAGAGACAUCUAGCUUUUUCCCAUUUAGCAGUUCAUAGGGAGUCUUCUCAAGUAGCCGGUGAGGAAAUAGCAUGUUUGACGCAUAACAUGUAGUGUUGAUAGCUUCGGCCCAAAACCUCUCCAGAGUGUUAUACUCAUCAAUCGUUGUCCUUGCAAGUGUGAUCAAGGUCCUGUUCUUCCUUUCAAAAACUUCAUUUUGUUGAGGUGUAUAUGUUGCUGAAACUUCAUGCUUAAUCCUAAUCUCAUCACAAUAUCCAUGUAUGUUGGUGUUAUCAAAUUCUUUUCUAUUAUCACUUCUAAUCUUCUUGAUCUUGCAAUCAAAUUCAUUUUGAGCUUUCUUAGCAAACUUCUUGAAUAUAGAUGCAACUUCAGAUUUAUCAUGGAGAAAGAACACCCAAGUGUAUCUUGAAAAAUCAUCAACUAUAACCAGACAGUAGAGGUUGCCACCAGCACUAUCAUAAGUUGUUGGUCCAAAUAGAUCCAUGGAAAGUAGUUCGAGUGGCCUUGAUGUUGACAUGAAAGCUUUUGUAGGAUGUGUGUUAGCAACUUGCUUUCCAACUUGACAUGCACUACAAGGCAUGUCCUUCUCAAAUACAACAUCCUUUAGUCCUCUAACCAUGUCCUUCCUUAGUACUUUCUUGAGUGUGCUCAUUCCAACAUGUGGAAGCCUUCUAUGCCAUAGCCAUCCAAGUGAUGCUUUGGUAAAGAGGCAAGUUCUUAAGUUUGCAUCUUCAGAGGUGAAAUCCACUAAGCAGAGAUUGUUGUAUCUAAAUUCUUUGAACACCAUUGAUUCAUCAUCCAUUUUUGAUACAAUAACCUCUGUAGGAGUGAAUAAGCAUUGAAGGCCAAGAUCACAAAGUUGACCCACUGAUAAUAAGUUGAAGCUCAAAGGUGCAACCAAGAGAACAUUUGAAAUUGAUAGAUCAUUUGAAAUUGCCACCUUGCCAAGUCCUUAAACUUUUCCCUUUGAAUUAUCCCCAAAAGUGAUUUUGUCUUGUCCAUCAACAUUCUCAUCAAGUGAGGUGAACAUUCGUGGGUUGCCUGUCAUAUGUUGUGUGCAUCCACUGUCAAUAACCCAAUGGCUCCCACCGGUCUUGUAGUUCACCUACAUCCACAGACAAAUCAAGCUUGAAUUUUGAGGGCCCUAUUUUGCAUAGGGUCAGUGACUUUCUCAAUCAAGGACUUUGCAACCCAAAUUUGUCUAGGUCUACUCUUGCUUGGUGGACCUAGGAAUGUAACUUUGACUUUUCCAUUUGCUACUUUUUUUAGAACAUAAAGGGCAUUGAAAGCAAAUGGUCUUGAGUGCUUUGGCAAGGGAGUUGGUGGUUUGGCUUUGCAGUUGUGGGCAAAAUGACCUUCUUUUCCACACUCAAAGAAUUUGAUAGGCUUAUGAGUCUGCUUUGGCUUGUAUUGAUUUGUAGCUUUCUUUUGCACAAAAGAAUUAUAUCCAAUACCACUCUUAUUGUUUUUCAUGACAGUGUUCAUGAGCAAUUCAUUUUGGAGGUAUUGGCCAUUGUUAAACUUUUGCACACUUGUUGCAAGAUGUUCAUUUUCACUCUUAAGUUUCUUGACCUCGUUUUUAAGCCUUUCAUUAUCCACUGCCAACUCAUUGUUGAAGUCAUUGUUCUCAACGGUAACCUUUCCUCUAGUAGUUGCAUCAGUCAAAUAUCUCUUCAAUUUUUGGUUGUCCAAUGUCAAGACUUCAACUUUUUCAGCCAGUUCAUCAUGAAGACUAGUUUGAUCAUCUUGGCCCAAAUCAUCACAUGAGGUUGCUACAUCAAUCUUAACAAUAGGGUUAAUAGCCUCAUGUGUAUUGCAAGAUAAAAGCUUAUUUGCAACAAGAAGGUUAUCAUGAUCAAUUUUAAUCUUUGUAUAGUCUUCCUUAAUUUUCACAAGUCUUUCUUUCAACUCCCUAUUUGCUUCAUUUAAAUUGUCACACUUAUCCUUAGCAUCUUUUAGGGAGGAUUUAAGCUCACUUACAAUGGAUGACAUAGUUUUGUUUUCUUAUUUCAUCUCAUCACUAGCUUUUACAACUAUGUCAUAUUUGGUAGUUAGAAAUUCAUUUUCAUCUUUCAACUUAUCACAUUUAGCCUUUGACUUUCUAAUGACUUGAGUGUAUUCCUUAAGCAAGUCAGCUAGUUCAUCAUAGGAAGGUGAAGCAAAUUCAUCAUCACUAUCACUAUCACUAUCAUCAAUAAUAUCAUUAUCAUUUUGUACCUUUCGUUCACCUCUAGCCAUGAGGCAUAGGUGAGAAGUCGAUGAAGGUGAUGGUGGUGAUGAAGAGAAGUCCCCAGCAAUGGCGGUAACUUUUUCAUCAUUUUCUUCUUCACUUGAAGAAGACCCGCUAGAUGACUCAAUGUCAGUGAGCCAAUAACCAAGAAUGUAUGUCUUUCCAUUUUUAUUUUUGUGGAACCUUUUCUGCUUCCCAUCCUUUCUCCUAAAGAAUUUCUUUUCCUUUUUCUCUUCAUCACUGUCAUCAUCUUUCUUGCCCUUGAACUUGUUCUUCUUGGGCUUAUUGCACUGAUGAGCAAGAUGACCAAGCUCUCCACAGUUAUAGCAGUCCAUUUCAGAGAUGGGAUUUCUUUUACUAGAGAAGAAUUUCUUCUUUCUUGAGUCAAACUUGAUGCCUUCUCUGUUGAGCUUCUUUAACAUCUUGGUGGUCUUCCUCACCAUCAAGGCAAUGUUAGCAUCAAGAUCAUCAUCACUUGAGGAUUCCUCCUCAAUUUGUACUUUAGCUUUUCCUUUCUUUUCUUGAUUGGCUUUGAGAGCCAAAUCCUUUCUCUUGGAAUAUGACUCUUCCUUGUCAUUGAUGUGCAUGUACAUCUCAUGAGCAUUGAUAUUUCCCAAUAUUCGUGUAGGAGUAGCAACUGAAAGAUUCAUCUGGUGCAGCACUAUACAAUGUGUCUAUAUUUGUUAAUUGGGAGGACACUAAGAAUCUUCCUCACAACAUUCGGUUGUGAAAUUUGUGUAAGCCCCAAGCCAUUUACUUCCUCUACAAGAAUAUUGAGACGUGGGUACAUAGCAUUGGCAUUUUCAUUUGCAAGCAUCUCAAAAGAAUUUAACUUUCUCAUAGCAAUAUGAUAUCUUCCUCACGCUCACUUCUAGUCCCUUCAUGUAGAGCACAUAUAUCCAUCCACAAAUCAUGAGCAUUUCUAUGGUUUCUUACUCUAUCAAAGACAUCUUUGCAAAGGCCUCUAAAAAGAGUGUUUUUGGCCUUAGCAUUCCAUUUCUCAUAGUUAUACUCUUCUCCUACAAGAUUUGUGGGAUCUCUAGGUUCUGGGAACCCUUAUGUGGCGACUUUGUAGACACCAAUGUCUAUACCAUCUAGAUAAGCUUCCAUACGAAUUUUCCAAUAUGGAAAAUCGUCAUCAUCAAAAACGGGAGGAGGUCCAUCCCCACCGGACAUCGUUACUCUAGCGGUUAAGCUAAUCUAAGAGCAACAAGGCUCUGAUACCAAUUGAAAGGAUCAUGAUGCCCAAGAUGGGGGGUGAAUUGGGCUUUUCUAAAAUUCAACAAUAAUUAAACCCUAAGCAAAAGCCCAACUUCACCCCAACAACUAGCAAUAAGAUAAUACUACUAGAAAUACAACAAUGCUAAGGCAAUACUUCAACUACUUGCUAAACAAAUGCAUAAGGUAAAAUACUUGAAUUAAGUGUGAAAUGUAAAGCAAUGUUUAGAAGACUCCUCCAAUUUUUCCCGAGGUAUCGAAGAGUCGGCACUCUCCCCUAGUCCUCGUUGGAGCACCCGCGCAAGGGUAUCACUCCCCCUUGGUCCUCGCAAGAACCAAGUGCUCACUAUGGGAUGAUUCUUUGCCACUCCAGCAUGGUGGAUCCCUCAUGACCGCUUACAAACUUGAGUCGGGUCACCAACAAGAUCUCCAAGGUGAUCAUCGAGCUCCCAACACCACUAAGCCGUCUAGGUGAUGCCGAUCACCAAGAGUAACAAGUCGUAGACUUUCACUUGACCAAGAGAAGCCUAAUGCAUGCAGUGUGUGCUCUAGGUGACUCUCGCUAGCACUAAUGAGGUCCAAAUACGGGAUUAAAAUUUUUCUAAUCACCUCACUAAGCUUUGUGGUGCUUGCAAUGCUUUACCAAUGUGUAGGAGUAAAUGUGCGCAACAAGACAAUCAAUAUGGUGGGUGGAGGGGGUAUAAAUAGCCCUCACCCACCAACUAGCCGUUAGCAGAACCUGGCUACGCAUGGGCGCACCGGACAGUCCGGUGCGCCAACGGUCAUCUCCAACGGCUAGUUCUGACAGCUAGCCGUUGGGCAGAUGGCACACCGGACAGUGAACAGUUACUAUCAGGUGCACACCGGACUGUCCGGUGUGCCGGCUAAAAUUCAAUUUUCCAACUCCGCGCUCUCGGGUUUCUGGAGGGGGAAGGGUCUUCCUCGGGCCAACCUGCCCCCACUGUCAGAGGGCGCACCGGACGGUCCGGUGCCCUUAGGCCAGAAACCCUAAGUUCUAUUUUCUUCUGUUUUUCAGAUCGGUUUUCGUUCUAACUCAUGACUAUGUUCUAGAGUGACACCUAGCACUAUAUGUGAGUGUGAAUAUGCACCAACACUACACUAGAACUCUCUUGGUCAAACUACUCAUCGACAACCUCUCUUUAUAGUACGACUAAAACAAAAUAAAAGACCUAACUCUAUACCGAGUGUCCGCAACUCCUUGACACUCGGAAUACGAAGACCUUCAUCUUUUGUUUCGUCGUUUUAGCUGUCACUUCAAGUUCUUAUCUUAGGGAUUGUUUUCACCGUUGUAGUACAUCUUCCUGUAAUGCGACCUAACUUACCAUUUGUCUCAGCAAAACACACGUUAGUCACAUAUAAUAUUACAUUGUCAUUAAUCACUAAAACCAACUAGGGGCCUAGAUGCUUUCAUGGUGGUAUACGGUGACUCCCUAGUCGUCAUCAGCUAGGUCAACAAAAACUGGGAUUGCUCCAAUGAUUCAAUGGGCAGCUACUGCGCCACGGUUAGGAAAAUUGAAGAUAAAUUCGAAGGACUAGAAUUCCACCACAUAGAGAGGGAUCACAAUGUAGCAGCAGAUACAAUGUCAAAGCUGGGGUCGAGCCGGGUGCAAGUUUCACCCGACAUCUUUCUCCAGGAGAUACAACAGCCAAGCACCACACCAGGACCAGCGGAGGAAUGCAAGGCAGUGGAUUAGGCAGAGCCAGACCCAAAGGACCGGAGGAAACCAAUUAUCAAAUACAUCAAAAAUGAGGAGGAACCAGACGACAAGGCCGCUGUCGAGCGCAUUGCAAGGCAGUCGACUCAUUAUGCUAUCAUAGGAGGAUUGCUAUAUAGGAGAGGGGCAUCCCGAGUCCUUAGGAAAUGCAUUCAUUUAGAUAUGGGAAAGCGUCUAUAGGAAGAAAUCCAUGCAGAACAAUGUGGAAUACAUGCAACAUCAAGAACUUUAGUGGGGAAGGCUUUCAGAGCAGGCUUCUAUUGGCCAACAACAAAGAAAGAUGCAGCUGAUCUAGUCCAAAGAUGCGAAACAUGCUAGUUCUUAUCUAAGCAGCAACACCUACCAGCUCGGCAGUUGCAAACUAUUUCGAUAACCUGACCCUCUGUGUGUUGCAGGUUGGACAUGAUUGGACCUUUCAAGAAGGGUACACCCACGUACUGGUCACCAUCGACAAAUUUACAAAGUGGAUAUAGUACAAGCCGAUUACAAGUCUGACCUCAGCCAAGACAGCAUCUAGAAAAUCAUAUUCAGGUUCGAGAUAUCCAACAGUAUCAUCACAGACCUAUGAUUUAACUUCACCAGCGCAGAGUUCUUCGAUUUUUGUGAGCAGAGAUGCAUUCAAGUCAAAUAUACGUCGGUAGCACACCCAGAGCUAAUGGACAAGUCUUAUUGUAUAUAUGUGUAUAUUGCUUUUUUAUUAUGGCCUGCGAGUUAAACGAGUCAGUUUAAUGUUGCAAAUGAGACAAGCUGAGCUAAUUCUCUUGCUCGAUUCCGAGCCAAUCAUAGCUGGCUUCUCUCCCAUCCUAGUAUCACACAUCUUAUUUAAAUUUCACUUUUUAAAUAUUGUUAUCUAUAUUGUCUAGUGCAAAAUAGAAUUUUUUUUUACAUGGCUAUACACGCUUUUAAGCCAGUCCAGAGGCCUCACCGAGGCGAGGUCCGCUGCCGUUUCUUUUAAGAAAACCAAUCUAUUAGUAUAAACCGUGCAAGCAAGAUGGAUAUUCUUGUGUGUUGUUUUGUACAUAUUCUAGUGUAUUGUUUUGUACAUAACAUGUUCCCUUCUUCCAGUAGAACUCGUGAGGUAUCGGAGUGGAGCUGGAAAAGGUGAGAGCCUGUUGGGAGCAAACAUUUCAACGGGGGAGUCGAAUGAAAUGGUGCUGAAGAUGAGUUGGUAGAUGCAUGAAUACAUACACUUCCCUUCCAGAUUGGUAAGAGUUUAUCCUAAAUAAAUUGAACUUCUCUAACUUUAAUCAAACUUAUAGAAAAUUAAAUAUUGAAUUUUUAAAUAUACGCAUAACCGAGACAAUUUUAUUACAAAAGUUAUUAAACUAAUUUAAUGAUGUAAUUGAUUUUUUAAAAUUUUAUUGAAGUCAGCAAAAUUACACCUCAAGAAAUUGCUAAAUAAAAGUUCAAUAAUUUAAAAUGGAAUAAGUAGAAAGGACACAGUUCCGGUUGCCCACUAACGAUACUUACCGAAAUAUGGCACAUAUCAGGUGAACAGUGACCAAAACUACAAUAACAGAGUUGCUAUUGUCAUAUAGUAUUGUGUCAUCGACAACAAGGUAAAACAUAACAGAAGGCCCAAAUGUUGGGUAAACAAACACGGUUCAACAACCACACAGCAAUACAGCCCAACAUUGUCCAUGAAACUGACUAGGAGCAGCACCUCAGUUCUUGAUCUUCUUCUUGGCCCUCAGCUGCAAGGAGAAAAGCAAGAGACAGCUCGUUAACUUUGUUGGGCUUCAAUGCUUUACAAAUGGCAGGACAAACAAAGAUGCUAGCCUACAUACAUACAGGCGCGAUACUUUCCAAUGCAAUAACACUAACCUGGUUGCUGUGACCACACUUCUUCUUGCGGCAGUUGACAGCCCUAGGGUGCAGUCGUGCAUAGCAUCUGUAGAGAAAGGGUAGAACAUGAGGACAAUGACCUAAAAGAGCUUCCUGAUACCAUAACAUGGAGCGAGAGGGCCUCUAUAUGAGUGGGUUCUGUGGUAUGAGUGGCGCUCAGUAUGUCUAAAUUCAACUGAGCAAAUUUUAAUUUAGGAUUAAAAAAUUUUCGUCGUCUAUCCCACAACAAAGCACAAGUCUAAGACCUGGCCCCAAUCGUUCUCACAUAGCCUACAGUCUGUGUAUGGGUGUAGCAGGGAUUCUAUGGCUUUCUCAAAGGGAAAUUACAUCAUUUUCCCUCCCUUGAAAAAUGGAGUUACCAAACUAGCCCUAACAUGGAAAAUGGCAAGUAAAUUGGCAAAUCGGACAUGAUUAGGCCUGAAGACUCAGCUCAUAAGUUCACUUCAGGCGUCUAACUGAUUAUCACUCGUGUCAUCAUUUUCCUCAGAAAAAAGAACACUUCCACAUAAAGAACAAUAACCAAAACAGGCCCAAGUAAUAAAAUGUACUAAUACACCUAACAGGCCCCCAAAUAAUAAAAUGUACCCAUAAAACACAAUGCUGGGCCGGUGAGAAAAUGCUUGAAUAUACUAGAAACAAAUCGUGUUUCUUUGAGAGAAAAAAACAAGUGGAGUUUCUGCAUGUUUGCUUGAAGGAUCUCUGGCGGUCUCAUGUUAACAAGGCGUAAACGGUGGAAACCUAAAAAUGGAAAACUACAAUAUACCUCAGCUAGUGCAAUCGCAGAAUUAUAUAUCAAAGCUUCUACUAAUGCUGAAGUUAAAUUCUGUUUGCAAAAUUAUCCACUUCCUACUAGCAUUAGUUACCAAAAACAAUUGUGAAUGCCGUUGAUAAAAUUAGAACUUUCUUUUGGCAAGGUGGUGUUAAUAAAAAAAAAUAAGUAUUGUCUGAUCAGAUGGACCAAAAUCUGUAAGAGCUUGAAAAAGGGGAUCUUGGUAUCCAAGACAUCAAGGAUGGGCCGGUUUGCACUGUGAAACAUAGGCAAACUGACUCGCCCAUUUGGCCAGAUGACUCAGAUCUACUGGAGGUCAAAGAUAUAAACUUGCAAAGGAGGAAACUUUCCAUUAAAAUGGACAAAAGCUCUCUUCUGGAACGAUAUCUUUCUUUAUGACAAACCUCUUUAUCAGUUACAUCUUGAACUGCUUAAAGCGUGUAAACAAGAUAUAACUGUAUAAGGGUGUGUUUGUUUGGGAUUAUAAUAUGCCCAGAUUAUAUAACACAACAAAUUUUGAACCAACACUUAAUUCAAAUUUUGUUGGAUUAUAUAAUCUGGGCAGAUUAUAAUCCCAAACAAACACCCGCAAAGUGUAUAUAAUAUGAAAUCUAACCUCAGAUGAUUAAGAUUCACAAGAUGGCUGGUGCAUGAAUGGAGAUUGGGAUGAAAAAUCCUAGCAGAUGUUGCAAAUGUGCCAAUGAGGGUGACGAUGAGAUAGCAUGGAGGUUUGGCUGUUAGGGACACUUCAGUGUCAAAUCUGUUUACGAUGGUCUGAAUUCAAAUGAAACUAGUCCAUUUCAUAAGAAAAUAUUGAAAGGAAAAUUCCAGCUAGAAGAAAAAUCUUUCUCUAGCUAACACUGAAUAAUGCAACUUUGACAAUGCUAAUAUGAUUAGAAGUGGCUUGGUGAUCCUACCUGCUACUUUUGCAUUUGUAACGAAUCUGUUUCUCAUCUUUUGUUCCAGUAUAGUGUAGCUGGGCAAUUAAUGCAAAGUACAAUGGUGCUACAAAUGUACCUAGAUAUUUUGAACAAUGUUGGUUAUGGGUUCAAAAAUGGCUCCCAUCUGGAAAAAAGGUUCCAUGCUGUAGGGAUUGCUGCUAUUUGCUGGACAAUAUGAAAAACAAAUGACAAACUAAGCUUUGAAGACAAAUAUGUGACCCUGCUACUAUUUUUUACAGGGAACAUAAAAAGUGUACCUGCGACACCUUUGGUGCACAUGGUACAGAUAUUAAAUUGCGACAAUUCAUUCUGGAUCCAACACCCUCCCCAACAGUCCUCUCGCUACACUGUAUAUUUUUGCAAAAACACUCUACACCACUUCUACCCUGAUCUGUGAACAAAGGGAGGUUGUGAGAGGACGUUGGAUCUAAAAUGGAUGGUCUUGAUCUUGAUUUAAUAUAUGCACCAAAGUUCUAUGAGCACCUAAUAUGUUCCUUUUUUAUAUGCAUGCGCGUUCAUGGGAAAAGAUCCCAAGGCACUAAUGUGUAAUGAGUGAUGCAUGGGAAGGAUAAAAGGAAAGGGUGGAAUAUACCCAAAGAUUUAGGGUCUGUUUAGUUCGUGUCUAACUGUGCCACACUUUGACUAAGGUUAGUCGUUCGAAUUGAGGGCAUGUUUGGGUCCCUGCCUAACUUGCCACACUUUGCCUAACUUUUCUGCCUAAGGUUAGUUCUUCAAUUUAAACGACUAACAUUAGGCAAAGUGUGGCGUAGUUAGCCACGAACCAAACAGGCCCUGAAUAACUAACAUUAGGCAAAAAAAGUUAGUCAAAGUGUGGCAAGUUAGCUGCACUUAGUCUUGAAUAAGAAUAUAUGGAAAACAGUUAUCCAUGUGGCUGAACCUUGACAGAUGGUUUCUGUUGGGUUUCGGUAUCUGUUGGGUUUCAACUCUAGCCUACCCCGACUUGUUGUGACAAGAUGGCUCUGGUUGAAGGCGUCAAUAAAAUGCUAAAUAUUGUGGUGAGGCUCCUUAGCAAGAAGCGAACAACAGUUGCCGCAGGACAAGGAUGGAUAUAAUCAGAAGAACUGACAAAGUUCUGGGCUGAUGCUGAUUGAUGUUCUUUUAGGCCUUGUUUUGGUACACAUAUUCACCUCAAUCCACAUGGGUUGUAGUGGUUAGUUUAAAACCCACACCAAACCAAUCCAACCCACAUGGAUCGAAGUGGAUACAUGCACAUUUAAAAGCCCUCAGUUGUUUUGCGAUCUGGUGGUUGUCUUGCAAGUUCUAGCAGUUGUACUGUUUUUGGAAAGACUUAUGAUGGUUUAGGGUCUGUUUGGUUGGGCUGUGGCUGUGAAAAAAGUUGUUGUGGGCUGUGAGCUGUGAAAAAAGCUGCUGUAGGUUGUGAGCUGUUAAAAAGCUAAAAACCGUUUGGUGGAAACCACUAAAAGUCGUUAAAAAUUCUUCGAUAUAUGUUUUCACAGUUCCAUCCGAAAAGCCACUAAAAGCAGGUCCAGGGGUGCUUUCAGAUUUGCACUACGAGAAAGCCGGCUUUUAGAAAAAGCUGCUUUCUGGAUCCAGCCCUUUGGUUAGCUUUUGGCUUUUAGGGGGGCAAAAGCCAAAGCCAAAAGUCAAACCAAACACACUCUUAGACCUUCUGUUACGUUACUACUCUCUCUUGUGAUUCUUAGGAUUCAGGCGUCUUGUGGUGGUAAGGAUAGCUAGCUGGUCUCUGACGUUAAUUUCGUAAUUCAAAUGUGGAAUCCUCUCAGUUCGAAAAAAAUAUCUUUCCUACAUUAGUUCCUGCAGAAGUAAAUGCACGUGUGGUUAUCAAUUCCACAUUCGAUGCAAAGUUACCACAAAUAAUCCUCGUCGCUAUAAUUCGAGAUGACGUUUUCGAACAAUAAUAUUAGGGAAAUUUGGAUCCAUAUCAUUAAAAGAUCACCACUUUGGAUCCAUACCAUUACUAUCUCACUUACAUGUGGGUCCACAUGAGUCAAUGACAUGUGGGGUCCAUGGUAUAUAUCUAAAGUUUGGAUCUUUUAAUGGUAUAGAUCCAAUUGUUCCAUAAUAUUAGCAAACUUUCCAUUCGGGGUGACAGAAGUGUUAAAAAGGUGAAGGCGUAGGUGGUGACUUACUUGCGGCAGAUCAUCUUGUCCUGGUUGUACUUGCGAGCGAGCGCCUGCAGCGAGGGCUCAAUGAUGCCACCGCGGAGCCUAAGCACGAGGUGAAGCGUAGACUCCUUUUGGAUGUUAUAGUCCGCAAGGGUGCGGCCAUCCUCCAGCUGCUUCCCGGCAAAGAUCAGCCGCUGCUGGUCCGGCGGGAUCCCUAUGGAAUGGAACAAACACAGCCUCUUAGCGCCUGCGCUACAUGCUAGUAAUACUAUUGCUACCAAAAGAUGGGCUGGCGCGCUCGCGUACCUUCCUUGUCCUGGAUCUUGGCCUUGACAUUGUCGAUGGUGUCGCUGCUCUCGACCUCGAGGGUGAUGGUCUUCCCUGUCAGCGUCUUCACGAAGAUCUGCAUCUUGUCGGACCUGGGCUUUCUCCGGGCUGCUGUGAUUGCUGCGGCGGCGGCUUCUCCCUCUCCGAGGAAUAGGACGGCGGCGGCGUGGCGUGCGGUGUUUUUAUACGUGGUUGCGGCAGCGGUUUUAGGGUUUCGUUGAGUGAUAUGGGCCGUUCAAAAUCGGGCAGUGCGUUUUGCUU